AGUGAACGCUGGCGGUAGGCCUAACACAUGCAAGUCGAACGGCAGCACAGUAAGAGCUUGCUCUUACGGGUGGCGAGUGGCGGACGGGUGAGGAAUACAUCGGCAUCUACUUUUUCGUGGGGGAUAACGUAGGGAAACUUACGCUAAUACCGCAUACGACCUACGGGUGAAAGCAGGGGAUCUUCGGACCUUGCGCGAUUGAAUGAGCCGAUGUCGGAUUAGCUAGUUGGCGGGGUAAAGGCCCACCAAGGCGACGAUCCGUAGCUGGUCUGAGAGGAUGAUCAGCCACACUGGAACUGAGACACGGUCCAGACUCCUACGGGAGGCAGCAGUGGGGAAUAUUGGACAAUGGGCGCAAGCCUGAUCCAGCCAUACCGCGUGGGUGAAGAAGGCCUUCGGGUUGUAAAGCCCUUUUGUUGGGAAAGAAAAGCAGCAGGUUAAUACCCCGCUGUUCUGACGUUACCCAAAGAAUAAGCACCGGCUAACUUCGUG
rnacentral:rRNA from 1 species